rnacentral:rRNA from 1 species
GAUGAACGCUAGCUACAGGCUUAACACAUGCAAGUCGAGGGGAAACGACAUCGCAAGCUUGCUUUUGAUGGGCGUCGACCGGCGCACGGGUGAGUAACGCGUAUCCAACCUGCCCACCACUUGGGGAUAACCUUGCGAAAGUAAGACUAAUACCCAAUGACGUCUCUAGAAGACAUCUGAAAGAGAUUAAAGAUUUAUCGGUGAUGGAUGGGGAUGCGUCUGAUUAGCUUGUUGGCGGGGUAACGGCCCACCAAGGCGACGAUCAGUAGGGGUUCUGAGAGGAAGGUCCCCCACAUUGGAACUGAGACACGGUCCAAACUCCUACGGGAGGCAGCAGUGAGGAAUAUUGGUCAAUGGACGAGAGUCUGAACCAGCCAAGUAGCGUGCAGGAUGACGGCCCUAUGGGUUGUAAACUGCUUUUAUAAGGGAAUAAAGUGAGUCUCGUGAGACUUUUUGCAUGUACCUUAUGAAUAAGGACCGGCUAAUUCCGUG